AAUGGGAUUCCUCCUCUUAAUCCCUCUCCAGGCAUGCCCAGAGGUGACCUAGCGGCUGUCACAGCCUUGUCUUUGGGCAGAGGCGGAGGAGUGGGUACCGAGGCAGCAGGUUGCUGCCCACCCCAAAGCAUGAGGGGGGGUGAGUGGGUGCAUCUGAAUAAAAUACUAAGGCAAGUAAUACAAUACUAAGGAGGGCAGAGCUGGUAAAAAUGUCCAGAGCAUCUGUGGCAAUGUGGGCAAUGAGGUGACGCCGCAAGUGGCUGUCACUUAUUUUGAGGCUUAUUGUCUCUAGUUUGCUUAAGAAACCUUGUUCUUUCUGUCCCAGGAGCCCUUUUAGGAGUUGAAGCAUUUCUGCAACCCAAAUGUCUCUGAUCUGGCUCCAGCGGGGACACAGAAGCGAGUGCAGGGAGCAGAAUGGGACCCGUUGUGAGGAGGGGGAGCUGCUGGCCUCUGUGGGCUGAAAAGGUCUGAUUUAAAGGUAUGUCUUCCCAUGGGAUAAUAAAUCUCUCCGAGCAAGAUCUUCCUGAGCGAAGCCGGGAGGAGCAGCCAGAUGCCAGCAUGGAUGUAUGAUCAGCUUCGUGGUGAGCGUUUUGCGACCUGAACUUUGCAGCGUUGUGCUGAUUCACGACGGCUUGUCACCGAAACUGCCUAAAACUGACAGAAAAAGGGACGCUGACUCAUGUGUUUGCCUUCCCCAAGCGCGGAGAAAUGUGAAAGGUGAACAAAGUAUUUAACGGGUGAUAAUUACAUUCGGUGCUGAAAAAUUCAAUCCAUAUUAAUAAGCCGGCGUGUUAUUGCUAAUAGAGGCCUUUUACAAUUUAAAAAAAAAAAUAGUAUUUAAGGUUUUUAACCUUGACAGUGACCUUUUAACAACAAGUGUAAGGAAACCCCUAAUUUUGUCCCACUCACACUUAUAAAGCUGUGUUAAGGAGAAUCUCCAGCUGCUGCCUUCCCUGUAUCCCCACGGGAUGCUGGGGGACGAUUCCCCGGCAGUAUUCCCUGAUACGGCGGGAUGAAACCCGGCAUGGGGUGGGGUGGGAUGUGGCACAAGGAGCCAAAGAGCCAGCCCCUCGGUGGGAGAGAUCUUGGCGUUACUGUUCAGGGCAGGGGGAGGGGGAGAGAGGAGUCGGAG
rnacentral:lncRNA from 1 species